ACUCCCUUCACAUUCUAACUUUUCAAGCUUAAUUUCCUUUUCUUGUGAACCUCAUCAGAAUUUCUUAGUGUUAUUUGGGCCAGAGGAUCCUGCUGGCAUGUUGAAUGCUGUGAAUUCUUUUUUAGACCAACAUUUUUAAAUGUACAGAACCUCUACCAAGGAGCUGGUCUUGUGUAUAGUGGGUAAAGUGUACCCCUGCGAUGCUGGUAUCCCAUAUGAGUGCUGAUUUGUGCUUUUACAAGUUUGAUCCAGCUCCACACUAAUGGCUUGGGAAAGCAGCCGAAGAUGGCCCAAGAUUUGGGCUCCUGUCACCCAUGUGGGAGACAUUGGUGAAGCUCCUGGAUCCUGGUUUAGGGUGACCCAGCACUGACCCGUGUGGCCAACUAGGGAGUGAACCAGUGCACUGAAGAGUCCGUCGCUCACUCUCUCUCACUGUCUCUCCCUCUUUCCCUCUUUCAAAUAAAGAAAUAUUUUUAAAAAAAUCUUUAUCUAGUGUGUCUAUUUCUUCAUUUUAGGCUCCCUUCUUCAUUGCCUUGGGUUCGUGCACAUUUUUGAUGAUCAGUGAAGUCUACCUUACCUUUGCAUUUGAAAAUGCCGAACUGUGGCCAAGACUUCUUCUUACUAUUCGGCAGCAGGGCAACUUCCCAUGUUGCUUGUUAUUGGCAGCACCUGCAAUCAAGAGAGCACCUCUUCUCACACACAAAGCAGCUCUACAGACGCUUAGAUGCACCAGGAUCUCCAAAGUCUGCAGGGAUGGUGUCAGCCACCAGCAGGGUCUGAUGGUCGGCUUUCUGUGUGGUUACUCGUGGCCUUUCAGGUGUCAGACUAAGUGCUCCAGUUUCCAGCUGGCUGUUCUCCAGAAGCCAACCUGCAUUCCUGUGGACAGGAAUCCUCCAUAUGCAACUUGCUUUAGCAAAGCAGCCAGGUUGGAGAGUUGGCUGCAGAGAGGAAGCUUCAGUCUUAUAACAAUCUUACGGCUUCCAGAAAGCACCAGCCUGGCCCCUAAUCAGAAUGGAUUAAACAAAGGAAGAAACCCUAGAAAGUAAGGCAAGUUGGGCAGUGCAAAAAUGCUCUCUAAAAACAAAAAUCAAGAUGUAUUUGAAUACAGUUUCCUUCACAUUAAAUGGAAAGUUUGGCUAGUAAAAAAUUAGCAAUAAAAAUUCUAAAUGUAACUUCUAAACA
rnacentral:lncRNA from 1 species